UCAGUCAUGCCACAGUUUUUAGGCGUGUGUUUGUUUCAAUGCCACAGUUGUGUCAUGCCACACUUUUCUACCCUUAGGUCCCACAUGUCAUAUUUAGAUGGUCCCACAUGUCAUACUCAGAUAACUAGAGCUAACAUUGCCACACUUGUGGCUAACUAUUUCUUGGCCAUACUUUUGCCACAUGCUACAACUUACCUAAGCUUAGUUAUGGCAAGCUUAGGCAUCAACCAAACAACCCAUUAGUUACUACUCCAAAACUCAUAAACGUGUCUACAAUGACAUAGGCCAGGGAUUAGUUACUCCCGAUUCCCGGAGUCAACUAAUGACUGGUUCGCAUUGUUUAGUUACUCCAAAUCUCCAAUAUUCCAAUACUCAAACGGUGACGACAGUUCACUGGUAAAU
rnacentral:lncRNA from 1 species